AUGGCGUCCGCUCCCCGCCUCGUCCCCAAGCCCGACCCCGACGCCCCGGCUCCGGCGGUCCCGCUCACGCCCGAGCUCUGCGCCGCGCUCCGCCGGGAGGCCGCCGGGCACGACCCGGGCGGCGCGGCCGCGGGGACUGCGCGUCUCACCCCCGAGAUCCUCGCCACGCUGCGCCGCGAGCUCGAGCCCUCCCCCGACGACCCCUCCGACUUCGCCAACCGCCUCCGCCUCUCCCAGCAGCGCCUCGACGCCAUCUCCGCCCGCCUCCCCUCCCCCACGCCGCCACGCGCACGGUCUCCCCUGCCCCCGCCGCCGCCGCGGGAGCCGUAUCCCCUGCCCCCGCCCCCUCCUCCGCCCAGAGCGCGCGCCAGCCCGGCGCGGGCCUCGUCCCCGGCCGCCGGCGCCUCGGGGAGGAAGCGGCCGCGUGGGGUCCCGGGCGCCGAGAUGGUGCGCGCCAGAGUCGCCGCGUCGCAGGCGGACAUGCUGCAGGUGCGCAACAUGGUGCGCCGCGCGCGGCUCAUCUUCGAGGCGCUCCGUGGCCGCUGCCACCGCAACACCGAGCACCACCACGCGGGCCGCAACCGGGCGGACAUGCGGGCCCUCAGUGCCAUGAUCGACGGGGAGCUCUGCCUCUACCGCGACGUGCGCAUCGUGGGCCCCGUCCCCGGCGUCCUCGUCGGCGACGCCUUCAACUACCGCGCCGAGCUCCUCGUCGUCGGCCUGCACUGCCACACCCAGGCCGGCAUCGGAUACGUGCCCGCCAGCCAGGUCAGCGAGGGCCACCCGGUCGCCACGAGCAUCGUCUCCUCUGGCGGGUACCUCGAUGACCACGACAACGGGGACGUCUUGAUGUACACCGGGAGCGGCGGCCGUCCGCGCAACGGCGGUGACCACCUCUCCGACCAGGAGUUCCAGCGUGGCAACCUCGCCCUCGCCUACAGCUGCAACUACGACGUCGAGGUGCGCGUCAUCCGCUGCCACGACUGCGACGCCAGCCCCAGCGGCAAGCUCUACGUCUACGAUGGCCUGUACAGGGUCGAGUCCUCCGCCUACGGCCCUGGCAAGUCCGGCCGCGAGGUCUGCCAGUUCAAGCUUGUGCGCCUGCCAGGCCAGGACGCGCUCGGCAGCAACACCUGGCGCUCCGCCAGAGACCUCACCGACGCGCUCGUCGCCAAGAUCCGCCCCCCCGGCUACCUCACGAUGGACAUGUCCAAGGGCAAGGAGGCUGUCCCCAUCCCUGUCCGCAACACGGUGGAUCAGGACGUCUCUCCCCUCGAGUUCGAGUACCUUGUACGCCCUGAGUUCCCGGCGCCGCCCAAACCGGUGAGGCGCGGGCACAAGUGCUGCAUCUACUCCAAGACGGCGUGCAGCGAGAUGUCGUCCAAGUGCGCGGCGUCCGGCUGCGCCUGCGUGAAGAGGAGCGGCGGGGGCGGCCCGGCGUACAGUGCCGACGGCACGCUCGUGAGGGGACGGCCGGUGGUGUACGAGUGCGGCGCGGGGUGCGGGUGCCCACCCAGGAGCUGCCCCAAUCGCGUGACGCAGCGGGGGAUGAUGCACCGGCUGGAGGUGUUCCGGUCCAAGGAGACGGAGUGGGGCGUGAGGACGCUGGACCUGAUCCAGCCGGGCGCCUUCCUCUGCGAGUUCACCGGAGACGUGCUCCCCGCGGAUCACCCCCGCAUUGCCAACGCGAACACCAAUGCCAGUACCGGCGCGUCAAUGGAGGAGUGGGGAGGCAUCGUCGACCCGAGGAAGUUCCCGCCGAGGUGGAGGGAGUGGGGGGACGCCCCCGCGGCCGUGCUUCCGGACGACGGCGAGGAACCACCCCGGUUCACGCAGUGCCCGGCGCCGGGGUACGUGAUCGACGUGUCCAAGAGGAGGAACUUCGCGGCCUACAUCAGCCACAGCGGCGCACCGAACGCGUUCGUCCAGCUGGUGGUCCGCGGCGACGAGGACGAGUCGUGCCCCCACCUUAUGGUCUUCGCCAUGGAGACCAUCCCACCCAUGCGCGAGCUCAGCAUCGACUACGGCGUCGAUCAGUGA
rnacentral:rRNA from 1 species